UACCGGGGGGGCAAGCGUUGUUCGGAAUUACUGGGCGUAAAGGGCGCGUAGGUGGCCUUCUAAGUUGAACGUGAAAUCCCCGGGCUCAACCCGGGAACUGCGUCCGAUACUGGGAGGCUUGAAUCCGGGAGAGGGAUGUGGAAUUCCAGGUGUAGCGGUGAAAUGCGUAGAUAUCUGGAGGAACACCGGUGGCGAAGGCGGCAUCCUGGACCGGUAUUGACGCUGAGGCGCGAAAGCCAGGGGAGCAGACGGG
rnacentral:rRNA from 1 species